AGCAUGCCGCGGUGAAUACGUUCCCGGGCCUUGUACACACCGCCCGUCACACCAUGAGAGUUGGGAAUACCCGAAGCCUGUGAGCUAACUUUAGGGAGGCAGCAGUCGAAGGUAGAAUCAAUGAUUGGGGUGAAGUCGUAACAAGGUAGC
rnacentral:rRNA from 1 species